GGGUCAGUAGGUUGGUCGUGCCACCGGUACGUACUGGUCUCACUGAUUCCUCCUUCCUGUAGAACCGUAAUGCCAUUAAUUUGGUGUUGCGGGGAAACAGGACUGUUACUUUGAAAAAAUUAGAGUGUUUAAAGCAAGCUAACGCUUGAAUACAUUAGCAUGGAAUAAUGAAAUAGGACGAUCGAUCCUGUUUUGUUGGUUUCUAGGAUUGACGUA
rnacentral:rRNA from 1 species